AAGAGUUUACCAUGUGCCUGAUUUUGGUGUCUGGGAAAGAGGAAGCAAAUAUAAUAAUGGCAGCACAGAGCUACAUUCGAGCUCUGUUGGCUUAGCAAAAGCAGCUCUAGAAGCAAUUAAUGGAUUCAACCUCUUUGGCAACCAGGGCUGUUCUUGGUCGAUUAUAUUUGUGGAUCUCGAUGCUCACAAUCGCAAUAGGCAAACUUUGUGCUCACUCUUACCCAGAGAAUCAAGAUCUCAUAACACAGAUGCUGCCCUGCUCCCCUGCAUCACUUACCCUGCAUUUGCCCUGG